UACGAAGGGGGCUAGCGUUGUUCGGAUUUACUGGGCGUAAAGCGCACGUAGGCGGAUCGUUAAGUGAGGGGUGAAAUCCCAGGGCUCAACCCUGGAACUGCCUUUCAUACUGGCGAUCUAGAGUCCGGAAGAGGUGAGUGGAACUCCUAGUGUAGAGGUGGAACUCGUAGAUAUUAGGAAGAACACCAGUGGCGAAGGCGGCUCACUGGUCCGGUACUGACGCUGAGGUGCGAAAGCGUGGGGAGCAAACAGG
rnacentral:rRNA from 1 species